GGCUACGGCUAUGCCAACCUGAAUGUGCCCGAUCUUGUCUGAUCUCGGAAGCUAAGUAUGGUCGGGCCUGGUUAGUACUUGGAUGGGAGACCACCUAGGAAGACCAGGUGCUGUAGGCG
rnacentral:rRNA from 1 species